AUGGACUGCAGUGGAGUGAUUUUAGUGUGUGGGUACUUUUCUGCGUCCAGUGAGUGGGUACUCUUCUGCGUUCAGUGUGUGGGUACUCUUCUGUGUUCAGUGUGUGGGUACUCUUCUGUGUUCAGUGUGUGGGUACUCUUCUGCGUUCAGUGUGGGGGUACUCUUCUGCGUUCAGUGUGUGGGUACUCUUCUGCGUUCAGUGUGGGGGUACUCUUCUGCGUUCAGUGUGGGGGUACUCUUCUGCGUUCAGUGUGGGGGUACUCUUCUGCGUUCAGUGAGUGGGUAUUCUUCUGCGUUCAGUGUGGGGGUACUCUUCUGCGUUCAGUGUGGGGGUACUCUUCUGCGUUCAGUGUGUGGGUACUCUUCUGCGUUCAGUAUGGGGGUACUCUUCUGCGUUCAGUGUGUGGGUACUCUUCUGCGUUCAGUAUGGGGGUACUCUUCUGCGUUCAGUGUGUGGGUAUUCCUCUGUGUUCAGUGUGUGGGUAUUCCUCUGUGUUCAGUGUGGGAGUACUCUUCUGCGUUCAGUGUGUGGGUACUCUUCUGCGUUCAGUGUGGGGGUACUCUUCUGCGUUCAGUGAGUGGGUACUCUUCUGCGUUCAGUGUGUGGGUACUCUUCUGCGUUCAGUAUGGGGGUACUCUUCUGCGUUCAGUAUGGGGGUACUCUUCUGCGUUCAGUGUGUGGGUACUCUUCUGCGUUCAGUAUGGGGGUACUCUUCUGCGUUCAGUGUGUGGGUAUUCCUCUGUGUUCAGUGUGGGAGUACUCUUCUGCGUUCAGUGUGGGGGUACUCUUCUGCGUUCAGUGUGUGGGUACUUCUCUGCUUGCGUGUGAAUUCCGUGCCUGCUAAGGCGGCCAACACUACUCUGGUCUCAUCUCCUGUGGACCGGUCCCUCUCUUGUAGAUGCCCUUGGACACACGGCCCUUCAGGUUACAAUGGAGCUCUCUGUGAGGAGCAAGAUGCCACUUCAGUGGGGCUCUCUCUUGUGUGGCUUUGUGUGUAUGUGCCUGCGGAUUUAUACGUUUGUGUGUGUGUGUGUGUCUGUGUGUGUUUGUUUGUGUGUCUGUGUGUGUGUGUGUGUGUGUGUGUGUGUAUAGGGGGUUAGUCUUUCAUACCCCACAUGUA
rnacentral:lncRNA from 1 species